AACGAACGCUGGCGGCAGGCCUAACACAUGCAAGUCGAGCGAAGCCUUCGGGCUUAGCGGCGGACGGGUGAGCAACGCGUGGGAACGUGCCCUUUGCUACGGAAUAGCCCCGGAAAACUGGGAGUAAUACCGUAUGUGUCCUUCGGGGGAAAGAUUUAUCGGCAAAGGAUCGGCCCGCGUUGGAUUAGGUAGUUGGUGGGGUAAUGGCCUACCAAGCCGACGAUCCAUAGCUGGUUUGAGAGGAUGAUCAGCCACACUGGGACUGAGACACGGCCCAGACUCCUACGGGAGGCAGCAGUGGGGAAUCUUAGACAAUGGGCGCAGGCCUGAUCUAGCCAUGCCGCGUGAUCGAUGAAGGCCUUAGGGUUGUAAAGAUCUUUCAGGUGGGAAGAUAAUGACUGUACCGCCAGAAGAAGCCCCGGCUAACUCCGUGCCAGCCGCCGCGGUAACAC
rnacentral:rRNA from 1 species